ACUUCCGGUCAGCGCAGCCCAGGCCGCAGGAGGGUACGGCCCUGGACCCCCUCUCUCCAGUGGGGGCUGGAGAUGGGAGCGCAACUGGGGCUCCGCCGAGGUCUCUGAGGGCACUUCACCCCCGCCCCCGACCCCAGGAACUGCGAAACCCCAAAUCUUCUUGCCCACCGCGGGGCGCAGGUCCUGCCCACCCGCUCUCCAGGGACGCGCGCAGAAAGGCAGUCCCGGCCGCCUCCCCGCGCCAGGGUCCGGGCAAGCGUCUGAAAGCUGUGCUUGGGCCGCAGCUCCAGCCAUCGCCCCUCACCCCCGGUUCUCCCGGGCCACGUUCAUUGCACAGUUUCGAUUUGUUUAGGCCGGGGUCUCCUCUUCUUUCCUCAACAUCUUUUUCUGUGGGCUCCCCGCCUCCGUAUUCCUCCUCAUCCUCUGCUCCAAGGUUUCCGUUUUUUGCACCGGAGGCCGCCCUUCUGCGACCAGCCUUCUCCGGCCGCUCGGACUCGGCCUCUGCAGCGGGGUGCACCCGGGCGUCCCUUCGGCUCCCGGCCCUCCCUCUCUCCUCGUCGCCCAGCCCUGCCUCCAACUUUGCGCCCCCGGCUGCCCCGCGCCGCGGCUCAACUGGACAUCCGAACGCUCCGACUGUCCGCUCCCCUCCCCUCCCCCGGCCGACACGUGGGGACCAGCGCUGACCUUGGGUGAGGCCACGCUGUCCCCCGCUGCUCUCCAGUCACCCCUGUAUCCCUUUGACUCUUGGGCUUCCGAGUAGGGGCUCCCGGAGUAUUACCAGGGAAAAGGGGAGCGCCCUUCCCCUGGUAAUGAGAGUAGCCACGCAAUGUCGGCUGCGCAAACUGGGCCUCAGAGCGGCCAGGCCAGGGUCAAACCAGGAAGAGGGGGAGGGGUGGACAGCAAGGCUGAAGAGACCUGACUUUAUUUGUGUUGCUUCAACUGGUCCUGAAUGGUUACACGAGGCGCGCGCUCUUGCACACACACCGCGGGCAGCCCAAACCCUCGCUGGCUCGGCCCGCCGGCUCCUCGCCCUGCCAGUCCUGAGCCGGCUCUGAGCCACUGGAGUCAGAGGGCCCGGGCGCCUGCCUUCUCGGUGCGGGCUGGGGAGGACCUGCUCGCGAAGGGCUGCCAACUGAACUUUUCCUGCACCAGAUUGAGCUCUGGCCUUCACCCCGGGCCUCUUAACUUCAGGUCCGCCCAAGUGCCCUCCUCUCAGCAGGCGGAGGCUCACAGCUCUGUCGGGAGUAGGGAGGGCUGACCGCAUUGUGGUGCAAAGUGACAAGUCGAGUGUUGACUUGGGGACUGCGAUGACCGGCCACCAGGAAGGGAACCAGGUAUGCUCUGGGGUCCCGGGCGGCGCCCUGGCAGCGGACGUUCCCGCAGGUAGUGCGCGACUUUUGCCCCAGGAAGAAGUCGCUGCUGCCUGCAGGGUGGCCUUGGAGAGGCUCGGGCCUCCAUUGAGACUGCUCACUUCCUUUUCUCCGGGACCACGGCUCUUCAGCUUUUUCCGCCCUAGGCUCCCGCGCCUCCUCAGUUCCCCAUGGGAGAGUUAUUUGAAGGCUCCCCGGAGAUGGGAUUUGGCCCACCAAUCCUAGCAAGUCAAGGCCCGCCCGGCUAGGCGCAGAGAGGCGGCCUCCCUCCCGCUACCCCGGGUGGGGUAGGGACCCCCUUUCCCCAGAGACCCUCUAGCACCUGAGUGUUGAUGAUCAUUACUUUAAAUUAAAAGUCUCUUUUCUCCUUUC
rnacentral:lncRNA from 1 species